rnacentral:rRNA from 1 species
CUGUGGGAAGCAGGAGGGACCACCCUCCAAGGCUAAAUACUACCUAGUGACCGAUAGCGUAUAGUACCGUGAGGGAAAGGUGAAAAGAACCCCGGGAGGGGAGGGAAAUAGAACCUGAAACCCUGCACUUACAAGCUGUGGAAGCACAUUUCUUGUGUGACCGCGUACUUUUUGUAGAACGGGCCAACGAGUUACGUUAAGUAGCAAGGUUAAGCACUUAAGGUGCGGAGCCGUAGCGAAAGCGAG